GACAUAGGUGGCGAACGUUAUCCGGAUUUAUUGGGCGUAAAGAGCGUGUAGGCGGCCAGGGAGGUCCGUUGUGAAAACUCGAGGCUCAACCUCGAGACGCCGAUGGAAACCCCCUGGCUAGAGUCCGGAAGAGGAGAAUGGAAUUCCUGGUGUAGCGGUGAAAUGCGCAGAUAUCAGGAAGAACACCCGUGGCUAAGGCGGUUCUCUAGUACGGUACUGACGCUGAGACGCGAAAGCGUGGGGAGCGAACAGG
rnacentral:rRNA from 1 species